UGAACAGAAGCUCAGUGGUUGAGCAGCCGGCUGUUAACCGGAAGACCGCAGGUUCGACUCCUGCCUGUUCAG
rnacentral:tRNA from 2 species